UACGUAGGGUGCGAGCGUUGCCCGGAUUUAUUGGGCGUAAAGGGCGCGUAGGCGGCCACGCACGUCCGUUGUGAAAUCGCCCGGCUCAACUGGGCUAGGUCAGCGGAUACGGUGUGGCUCGAGCAAGCUAGGGGGCAAUGGAAUUCCCGGUGUAGUGGUGGAAUGCGUAGAUAUCGGGAGGAACACCAGUGGCGAAGGCGGUUGCCUGGAGCUUUGCUGACGCUGAUGCGCGAAAGCGUGGGGAGCGAGUCCGG
rnacentral:rRNA from 1 species